UUUAACACUUCAUCAACACACAACACAACAACAAUGAUAUUCAUCACCUUCUUCAUCUGGACUCUCACGGUGUUUGCUCGAGAGUGUGAUGGACAGAUCACAGUCACUCAGAGUCCCUCAAUAACAGCAGCUCAACCAGGACAAGAAGUUAAAAUAAUCUGUAAAACCAGCAGUAACGUCUACUGGGAGAGUACUUAUGGCUCCCGCUUAGCCUGGUACUUACAGAAACCUGGAGAAGCUCCUAAACUCCUCAUUUAUCUGGCCAACAGAGUGCAGUCUGGAACUCCAUCUAGAUUCAGUGGCAGUGGAUCUGAUAGUGAUUUCACUCUGACCAUCAGUGGAGUCCAGACUGAAGAUGCAGGACAUUAUUACUGUCAGAGUUAUCACAGUGGUGGUGUGUUCACACAGUGAUAAAGAGUCAUACAAAAACCUCUGUCAGUCACACUGCACUGAUACACUGACAGAUACUGCAGCUGCUCACACACACACACACACACACACACACACACACACCAUGUGGAGAAUCAAAAAGGACAUUUAAACAAGGAUUGAACACAUAUUUUGUUGGUCAGUAUUUUUAAAGAUAAUCAUUAGACAUCGUGUUGAUGUGAUCAUGAUUCUUCAGGAGUAAUUAAUGGUCUCAUGAUACUUUCUGUCCAUCAUUGAACUGAACACCUGAUUUCAGAUGCUGUGUUCAGUCAUUUCUGAACUUGAUUUGCUCAUCAGACAUUUUCCCAUCUCUGUUCAAUCAAUGACUCUGUUUCAAACCCUCCUGAGCUGCUUUGCUGUCUGUAGAAUACUAACUAAAAAUGAAACCUCUUCAGUGACUGACAUGAAACACUGAACCACAUGAGACUCAUUUUAAACUUUGUGAGAUGUUAACAUGUUGCCAAGCUAAUGAUGCAACACACUAAUAACCUCAAAAAUACAUAAUAUAAUUAUUUAACAAGUGUUUAAGUUUUUAUUGAAUACUAAAUGAAUGACUUUAUUUCUUCUGUGGAACACAAAAGGAGAUUGUAAGUCUCAGUCACCAUUCACAUUGAUUCCAUAUUUUCCAUUUAAUUAAAGUGAAUGGUGACUGGGGCUGAAAUUCUGCUGAAUAUCUCCUUUUGUGUUCCACAGAGGACAGAAAGUCAUACAUAAGGUUUGGAACAACAUGAGGGUGAGUAAAUGAUGACAAUUAUAAUGUUUGUGUGAACUAUUCCUUUAAAACUCCCACAGCAUGAAACAACAUAAUGAGAGACUUUGAGUGUGUGUUUGCUAUUAGACAAACCAUUUAAUGAUCUUUGAACAGACCAUAAUAUGAUCAGAUGUCACAACAGGUGCUCUCCACCA